rnacentral:rRNA from 1 species
CCUACGGGUGGCAGCAGUGAGGAAUAUUGGUCAAUGGGCGCGAGCCUGAACCAGCCAAGUAGCGUGAAGGAUGACUGCCCUACGGGUUGUAAACUUCUUUUAUAAAGGAAUAAAGUGAGGCACGUGUGCCUUUUUGUCUGUACUUUAUGAAUAAGGAUCGGCUAACUCCGUGCCAGCAGCCGCGGUAAUACGGAGGAUCCGAGCGUUAUCCGGGUUGAUUGGGUUUAAAGGGAGCGUAGAUGGGUUGUUAAGUCAGUUGUGAAAGUUUGCGGUUCAACCGUAAAAUUGCAAUUGAUGCUGGCAGUCUUGAGUACAGGUGAGGUAGGCGGAAUUCGUGGUGGAGCGGUGAAAUGCUUAGAUAUCACGAAGAACACCGAUUGCGAAGGCAGCUUACUAAACUGCCACUGACAUUGAUGCACGAAAGUGUGGGUAUCAAACAGGAUUAGAUACCCUAGUAGUC